AGACACACACUGGCAAAAGGCUUCUAGUCAAGGUUCAGUCUGACUUCUAUUCCACUCCUGUGCUUCAUUUCAUCCAAGAUAAAAAUAGGAGAAAAAACUAAAAAAGCUUUUAGCUUUAAAUAAAUUCAUCCAAAGAUGACAACUUAAAUUACCUGAGUGAAAAAGACCAUUGCAGUUCAUAGCCAGGAAUAAAGAGUUCCGGAAGCUACCAAAGAAAAGUGUGAUUGCCCCAAAUGUUGACUUACCACAGGAUUAACAAAAGAAAGUAAGACUUGAAAUAACAACAAUAACAAUAAAGUCCUUUCUUUCAAAUUUUUA